rnacentral:rRNA from 1 species
AACGAACGCUGGCGGCAGGCUUAACACAUGCAAGUCGAACGCCCCGCAAGGGGAGUGGCGCACGGGUGAGUAACGCGUGGAUAUCUGCCUUUUGGUUCGGAAUAACCCCGGGAAACUGGGGCUAAUACCGGAUGGUUCCUACGGGAUAAAGAUUUAUCGCCAAAAGAUGAGUCCGCGUACGAUUAGCUAGUUGGUGAGGUAAUGGCUCACCAAGGCGACGAUCGUUAGCUGGUCUGAGAGGACGAUCAGCCACACUGGGACUGAGACACGGCCCAGACUCCUACGGGAGACAGCAGUGGGGAAUAUUGGACAAUGGGGGCAACCCUGAUCCAGCCAUGCCGCGUGAGUGAUGAAGGCCUUCGGGUUGUAAAGCUCUUUUGGCGGGGACGAUGAUGACGGUACCCGCAGAAUAAGCCCCGGCUAACUUCGU